rnacentral:rRNA from 1 species
AUGAAAAUCAUCAGUUGGAACUGCCGGGGUCUCGGGAAUGGUCCGGCAGUUCGAUCUCUUCUCGAGCUGGGAAGAGUGGAGGAUCCCGAUAUUCUGUUCCUAUGUGAGACAAGAAUGAAGGAGAAGGAGUUGGGAAGGUUUAGGUGGUCGUUGGGGCUCGCCAACAUGAUAGCGUGGAAGGAUGAGAGUAGUGGUAGAGGAGUAGCUAUGUUCUGGCGAAAA